GCCGUUGUAGCUCAGUGCCAGAGCACCUGUCAGGUAAGCAGGAGGUCCGGUGGUUCAAAUCCCCGCAAUGGCACCA
rnacentral:tRNA from 1 species